UACCAGCACCCCGAGUGGUCGGGACGAUUAUUGGGCCUAAAGCAUCCGUAGCCGGUCCUACAAGUCUUCCGUUAAAUCCACCUGCUUAACAGAUGGGCUGCGGAAGAUACUAUAGGGCUAGGAGGCCGGGAGAGGCAAGCGGUACUCAGUGGGUAGGGGUAAAAUCCUCUGAUCCAUUGAAGACCACCAGUGGCGAAGGCGGCUUGCCAGAACGCGCUCGACGGUGAGGGAUGAAAGCUGGGGGAGCAAACCGG
rnacentral:rRNA from 1 species